AUCUCUGUAAUAAAUAAAAAUAAAAAUUAAAUUUUUUCCGCUGAAAUUGACAUAAAUUUUUGUGAAAAAAAUUUAAUAAAAAAGUACAAUUUAAUAAAACAUACCGGAUCAUAAACUACAAGUUAAAAAGUUUAUUAGAUUCCCAUUUAUUAACCGAAUAUCUAACCAGAUUAACAAAUGUUUCAAUAAAACUAAUAUUCAACUGGUGUUUUACUACUUAGUCAAAAUUAACUCAAUUUAUUCAAGAUUAAAAGAUAAAGUUGAUAAAGGGGAUCAGUCCGAGAUUGUAUAUUAGAUACCAUGUGAAUGUAUCAGGUGCUACGUGGGACAAACGAAGCAAAAACUCAAGAAAAGACUGGAUCAACAUAAGAAUGACUGCAGGCCGAUUAAUAUACUCAAAACAAAUUCUACUGCACUCGCUGAUCAUCAUUUCAAGACUGGACACAAUUUUAAAUUUGACAUGGCAACUAUUUUAGAUAUAGAAGACAAUUGGUUCAAGAGAAAUAUUAGUGAAAUGAUCCAUAUAAAAAGAAAUAAUACAGUGAAUCUAAGAACAGACACCAAUAAUUUAAGUAGUAUUUAUAAUGAUAUUCUAAAUGUUUCCGCGAGAAUUUAGUUGACAUAAAGAUCAUAGAUGUCACUGUAGUAUUAUUAUUGUAACUUAGUUAUUAUACACUAUCUAAGGGUAUAACAGUAUUACAAUUAAUAUUGAUGUUGAUACAUUUAGUAAUAAUUUUGUUAAAUAACUUGUCUGUUUAUGUUUUUAAAAAUAAUGUUAAUUGACAUUGGAUUCAUUAUAACACUAUUACCAAUGGUUCUUACGUUUUAUAUAAUAGCAUAUAAUAGAUUGUAAACCAUAAUGAUUAAGUUGCUGAUGAAGUCCUAAUAAAGGACGAAACGUACAACAAAGAUCAAAUUGAUGGUUUGAAUUUUUAUUUUGUCCUGAAUUCCUGUGAACAUUCCUGUUAUUAUUUAAUAAAAAAGUUUCAACUGUGAUAAUUAAAAAAAAUUAAAAGGAGAAAUUUUUAAAAGUA